rnacentral:rRNA from 1 species
GACGAACGCUGGCGGCGUGCUUAACACAUGCAAGUCGAACGGAAAGGCCCUGCUUGCAGGGUACUCGAGUGGCGAACGGGUGAGUAACACGUGGGUGAUCUGCCCUGCACUUCGGGAUAAGCCUGGGAAACUGGGUCUAAUACCGGAUAGGAGCCAUUUUUAGUGUGAUGGUUGGAAAGUUUUUUCGGUGUAGGAUGAGCUCGCGGCCUAUCAGCUUGUUGGUGGGGUAAUGGCCUACCAAGGCGGCGACGGGUAGCCGGCCUGAGAGGGUGGACGGCCACAUUGGGACUGAGAUACGGCCCAGACUCCUACGGGAGGCAGCAGGGGGGAAUAUUGCACAAUGGGCGCAAGCCUGAUGCAGCGACGCCGCGUGGGGGAUGACGGCCUUCGGGUUGUAAACUCCUUUCGCUGGGGACGAAGCUUUUUGUGACGGUACCUAGAUAAGAAGCACCGGCUAACUACGUG